rnacentral:rRNA from 1 species
CCUACGGGUGGCAGCAGUGAGGAAUAUUGGUCAAUGGCCGUAAGGCUGAACCAGCCAAGUCGCGUGAAGGAAGAAGGAUCUAUGGGUUGUAAACUUCUUUUAUAGGGGAAUAAAGUGAUGCACGUGUGGAUAUUUGCAUGUACCCUAUGAAUAAGCAUCGGCUAACUCCGUGCCAGCAGCCGCGGUAAUACGGAGGAUGCGAGCGUUAUCCGGAUUUAUUGGGUUUAAAGGGUGCGUAGAUUGGUUGUUAAGUCAGCGGUGAAAGUUUGUGGCUCAACCAUAAAAUUGCCAUUGAAACUGGGUGCCUUGAGUGUAGUUGAGGUAGGCGGAAUGCGUGGUGUAGCGGUGAAAUGCUUAGAUAUCACGAAGAACUCCGAUUGCGAAGGCAGCUUACUAAGCUGUAACUGACACUGAAGCUCGAAAGCGUGGGGAUCAAACAGGAGUAGAUACCCCAGUAGUC